UACGUAGGGUCCGAGCGUUGUCCGGAAUUAUUGGGCGUAAAGGGCUCGUAGGCGGUUCGUCACGUCGGGAGUGAAAACUCGGAGCUUAACUCCGAGCCUGCUUCCGAUACGGGCAGGACUAGAGGUAGGCAGGGGAGAGCGAACUCCUGGUGUAGCGGUGGAAUGCGCAGAUAUCAGGAGAACACCGGUGGCGAAGGCGGCUCUCGGCGUCUACCUGACGCUCAGGCGCGAAAGCUAGGGGAGCGAACAGG
rnacentral:rRNA from 1 species